CUCGCUCAUUGGCUGCGAGGAGUGACGCCAAGGCCGGGACAGCCCGCGAUUGGCCCGAGGCCGCGAGCAAGGGGGGAAGCGAAUUGCAUCAGACGUGAGGGCUGCGGGCGGUGUGGCGGGGCGAUGGGCGGGGCUUGUGAGGGGUUGUGGGGCAGAGCAGGGCCGUGAGGGGCCCGAGGGAACCGGGGGAACCGGGGGACCCGUGCCAACCGUGCCAACCGUGCCGUGCCGUGUCGUGCCCGCCAUGGCGGUGGCUGAAGUUGACCGGUUCCUUGAGGAGGCAGUGAACCAAGCCUAACGUGGCGAAACAGCUGAAGUCUCUCUUUGGUCUCCAUUCCGGAGCCGGUCUGUCACAAAUAGUCACAAGCAUAACAAUGCGGAGCACAAGUGCCACGAAUGGAGCUGUAGCAGAUGCUAUAAGAAUGAGCUGUUUAGUCUAAGAAGACCAAAAAAGCAGCGAGUCAUUGGAUUUAAUCCUGUGAUCCACGUGACUCAAGAAUGCUUCUCACCCUGCCUUCACCCUGCUGGGGGGUUCAGCACUACCACCAAGGAUGUGCCAAUGAGGAUACUGUUUGCUGUCCUGCCAGAAACCACAUAAGUUCCUGCUAAAAUAGCUUUAUGUUUUAUGUUCCAGGUGGCCAACCCACCAGAGGAAAUAAUUUUGUUUAACGAAGGUGGAGAGGCUUUACCCUUGUGUAAUCUCAGAUACAGAGAAAGAAAUGUGUGUUCAAUGUUAUCUACACAUGAAAAAAGGGGGAAUAGAGGAGGAAAGUAAAAUGGAAGAGGUGGGCAUACAGAAAAGAUUACCUGACAAUCAUAAUCUGAGAAAGAGCUUGCUUGCCAAAUGUGUGUCUGAAAAUACUUGGAUGGUGGCCCAGGCCUCCAAGUUCUUGACAACAGCUGGAGUGUUCCCAUUCCUGUAUCAAUAGCUGAUUAAAUGAGAAGAGAACCUGUUUAGCAGCCUAAAACAAGGUAAUUCAAAACCUGUAAACUAAUUUUACUUAUUCUUAAAUUUUGUCAUUACACAUUUGGAUUCAGGAGUGCAUCUUUCAAAGUUUUAGUGCUCUCAGUCUCAGGGAAUAUGCAGAAUCUGUAUCCUCUGGCUACUGCAAAGAACUGCCACCCUGCCUGCAUGGCUUUCCUUUCUCUUAACACUGCCACAAGCAAGCCUUUCAGAAAGGUGAUUUUCACUCAGCUCUCAUCCCUUCUCCAUUAAUACUUAAUAAGCUAUUGGGAUUCUGCUCAACUGGCUUCUGUGAUUGUUCCCAGGUUACCACCAGAAAAGCAUGGAACAGACACAGUGAGUUCAACUUUAAACCAUGAUUCUCCUAACAUAUGUGUGCCCUGCAUUCCAGUUCCCUGUCCUCCUGUCCUCAUGUUCCACCCACAUGUUACUGGUACUUCCAGCUACCCAGAAUUUCAAGGAAGAGUGAGGUAGGUCUGCCUGAGUUCCAUCUUAGGUCUUGGUUGUGGGCCAAAGGCCCGUAGGCUGGAGAGUCUUACUUGGUCUCUUUAUGGUUCAGUCCUCUGACCUAGCUGAUUGUGGUACACCUGUACCUGAAGUGACUCUUGUUACACUUCUUCUAAUACCUUCAGGCCUUCUUGCUGGAAUUCUGUCUGUAUUUUCCCCAUAGCAGUGUCCCAAGCACUGCAGGCAGCAUCAGCUGGCUCAGGCAGCCCGUAUCUUGUCACAGAGAUGUCUCAAAUGCCCCUUUUUAGGGUUAUCUGCCUCCCCAUGCAAUAGGGUUGGUUCUCCCAUCACCAUAGUCAAUGAAGUCUUGCUUCUGAUUCACAAAAGUCUGAGUUAACUCAGGCAACACUAUCAGUGUUUCUGGAACAAAUUCUGAAAGUUGACUAGAAACCAGGCCUUUUAUAAGGCUUUUCUUCAGGAAAAGAGGGUCUCCCUUCAGUGCUACAGGAGUUCCCAGCAGCCAUAGGCACUGAGGUUCACCUUGGAGCCUCUUUGGGUAGUUCAAUUCCGUUGCCCACAUGCAAAGAGAUUGUGCCCUAUUCCAGGUUUAAUGGUAGCUUAGCAGCAAUAAAUUUCAAUGCAGUACCUCAUAAAAAAAGGGAGAUUAGGAGCACAUUGCCCAAAAGCCAGGUGUAGAUGCACGUAUAGCAACUGAUUAACUUUUAGAAAAUAUGAACCUCCAUUGUGGCCUUCUUCUGUAGUGGCCUCUUUGCGUCACAGAUUGUUUGGAAACAAAAUAAUCUCAUGUUUCACACAUUUUGUGUGUGUAAUUCCUUUUGCUAUUGUUACAGAAUACAAGAUCAGAGAUUUUUCUUAAAACAGUCUAAUGAUAUAUUGUCUUUUUGAGUGUUAACAGUGAAUUUGAGAUCAAGCAAUCUCUAUAAAAGGCUCACAAUGUUCUUUGCAUCUCCAUAGUGGUUUUUUUCCCCUUGAAUUUCACUUGCAUUGUAAUUCCAAUUUGCUUCAUUUUAGACUCCUCUGAAACUCAAGAAUUCACUGGUAUCAGGCAAGACCAGAAAUGAACAAAUGUAUAUAAUUUUUUAGCAGAUGCAAUUUUUUUGCCAAUUUACUAUUUUUUCCAGAAAAUGGACAUGUUUAUUAAACAGCAAAGGUCCCAGUGUAGAAACAGCUUCCUAAUCCCUAUCACACUGCUGAGGAAUGCUGAUAUAAAGGGAAAAUCUAUCCACUUACAAGGACAUGGCAGUAUUUUGUGAUAAAGAUCUCUUGAUUUGAUUCUUUCUGUCAGACAGAGAAGGAAAUUUCUUGUGCACAUUCAGAGCUUGGAGCAAACCACUGAUGGGAAUUUAAAAGAAGACAAGAUAUCCACAUCGCAGUAAACAGAAAGACUGGCAAGCCUAUGCCCAGUUCUGGAAGAGUGAAAGGUUACUGGAAAACUCUGCAAACAUUAGUAAUGUAAAUAGAUCUUUAUACAUAGCCACUGGAUGUCCUUGGGAAGGUUUAUGCCAUCUGCCAGUCCCUGAGAGACUCCAGCUGGGAAUCAAACAGCUUUGGUCACUUAGCCAGGAAAAUGGGCUCAGGUCAGGUAAUCUGUUUGGUGGGCACCCCUGAUCUCUGCAGGAAUCCCACAGGUCAAGAGGAGGUUGCAGUUGUCAUUCAGGCUUUGCUUAGUAGUUCUGGCUUCUGUUUCCAAUCAAUUUGGCUCAUUCCCUUCCCACACCAUUCUUCUAUUGCUCUAUUGAUUCUGCUUCCAUUGCAUGGGUUCCCUUUCCAUUUAAAAAGUCCAGCUGCUGGCACCUCUGGUGCUUUGCUGUGGUUUAUCUGAUUGUAGUACCUAUUUCCAUGUGUAGUCCUACUUCAUCCCUUUGGCUUUUCUCUUUCUAGCUUGGUCCCAAGCACAGUGUUUCCCCGCAGGGUUCUCUCCUCCUGCUGGCAGGAAAAUGUGAGCCAGAGAGUUGUGCAGAGUAUGCAGGAUUUGGAGAUUCUGGGGGAUGCCACAGGAGCUGUGCACAGAGAGGGGUUGUGCUCUCCUGUGCACAACAGUUGUGCUCACCUGUGCUCAAACAGUUGUGCACAAGGAGGUGUUGUGCUCACCUCUGUACACUGAUGCUCUUUGACACAUUAGAGGUGGUAGUCACGAGAAAAAGAAAAAAGGUAAAGGUCCUACACCGACUUGAGAUGAUGCAGCAAGUGCAUUGUUUGGGGUGAAGCUUUGAAUGUUCUGGGCCAGUACAGGAGAGGCUGAACUUGCUGCUGUGCUGUCCCAGGGAACCCACAGUGCUGUUCUGGGUUUUGUGCCAGUGUCCCACAUGUUGAGCAAGCUCUCUGUGGAAAACACUUAACUUGAAAUCUCACAUACCUAAAAGCUCCUGUUCCAGUAAGUUUCUCUGUUUGCACAUCCUGGUUCAGAACUGGAACCUCUUCUUGGAAAAUACCCAGGGAGGUAAACAACCACGCUUAGGAAAACUUGAUGGCUGCUUCCUGUUGGCAGAAGCCUGCUCUUCUUUGGAGCAGUGCCUGCAUUUGAAAGGGAAAACCUUUUCUUAUUUCUUAGACCUUCCCUAGGCUUUGAAGUUAUUUUAGAAGUCCAGAGCCCCUGAGAGUCCUGGAAGCUUUCUUGUUUUGUAAUUUUGAAUUUAUUUCCUUAUAUUCUUCCAUUUGGGUGCCCUUUUGUAUGCAGAACCCUGUCUCCAGCUGUCAUGUGACCCUGUAAGAGAAGAGGAAAUUAUUAGGAAAUGCCAAGUUAGGAAUCAGUUCUGUUUCAGCAUAGGUUCAGCAGGACCCAAAAUGUGGGGGAUAUUGUCAGAAUCCUCCAUCUCCUGCCUGCUACAUUUUUGAUUUGCUGACUCCUCAGAGAGCACAGGGUAGCAGCUGGUGUUCGGAGAGGGACAAGUCUAUUAUGGUUUGUCUCUGGUAUCCUCACUGAUUUGCUCUGUUGGCACUGACUUUAAUGAUAACUAUUAUGUAAAUAGGCAGGGACAGCUAAAGACCUUAAUCUACUAAUUAAAUAGAUCCUAUACUAAUAGUUGAAUGUGGAAAAAGAGUGUUUUAAGGUGAUUAAUUAAAGUGUCAGUCAGAUUUUUUUACUUAGGUGGGUCAUUAAUAUAAUAGGUAACCCAAGAUGAAAUAGACUAAGUAAUUUCUUAACUCACUAUCACAUGAAACAAAUCCAUUGUUAAUGUGGGAGUGCCUUCAUUUUAGCCAGUGACAUUUGAAGAGUGUUUUUUGCUUUUGGUACUCAGAAGCACUGAAAUCUAUUUUUUGGCUUUAGCAUAGAGUUCUUCAUAUUGCAAUUAGUAUUAGCAGCUGAUACAUCAUACACUUUAACCAUGUGGUUCAAAUUUAUUCUGCAAUGUUUAAAUAUUGUUCAUUUUAUGUCAUUGCUUGAACUAGGGCUUCAUGAACAGCAGCUUGUACCCUAUAUUUAUCCCAGAAACACUAAUAGCAAUGUUGAAUUAAAUACAGAAGUGUCAGUAUCUAGAUUGUAUAUAAAUAUGUGAAAUAUACAGGGUGUGUUAUUUAUAUUUAAUUUCACUAGCAGCUUCUUCAAUAUUAUGAAUGAAGAAACUGCUAAGCAUUGACCUAAUGAACACAUGAAACUAACAGUAGUUAGGGAUUUAGUGCAACUACAACUGAAAGUGAGUAGAUGUGAUACAGAGCAAUCUCAGGAACACAGCAGCACAGUGAGACAUUGGUAUGGAUGCAUUUGAGGGUUUUUCUUGCAGAAUGAAUACUGAGAAUCUUGGAAAAUAUAGCUCCAAAUUUUUUCCAAAUCCGUUCUGUUCCAGCCACCCCUUGCAGGGAUUUUAGAUGACCAAAAAGCAUAUCGAAAUAGUUUCCUAAGUUUGUUUCUAAGAAUUCUUUUUUUCUUCUUUUGGCAACAUGAUCUGCUGUACCUGCCUGGUGAGGACUCUGAAGGAAAGCAUCAAGCACGGCUGUAUUGUCUUGCAACUCUUAUUUGAGCUUGUACUGUGUAUUGAGUUUGCAAAAAGAAAGGACUGAAUUUAUCUAAAUAAGGGUAUUUUCAGUACAAUCUACAUAAUUCAGUUUCACAGACUUGAUUCAUUAUUAUUUUUAACCUUCAGUAGAAAAUUACAUGUGCAGAGAGGUGAAGGAUUCCCCAAUCACCAUGUUUCCCCUUCAUGCAGAUUUAAAAGACUACAUGUUGUUUAAAGCAUUGGAAACCUUAAACUAUUCAAACAUUAACUACAAAUUUUGUUCACGAAAAAAUGUUAUAAUCAAAGUUGUUGUGGCUAGGCAGUUGGCCAUUUUGCAUUGCUUUGAUGGUGAUUUACUUGGAUGAAUUAUGUUUCCAAACCUUAAAUAGCAAGAAGCAAAGCCACUUUCCACGUGUUUUUCCUAGUACAAAUACCCACUGAUUUUUGUUACUUUAAUUAAGCUGACAAGCUACAACGCUUUGUUACUUAAAUUUAGAAUAAUUUAUGAUAACGAUGAAAGCAUCGCUUCUAUAAAUACAGGAUGGGCUUUCAGGUCCAAAGUGCAUCCAAAGCCUGCAGAUGCUGGAUGAAGAAGAUGAAGAUGCUGAAGGUGCUGAAGGUGCUGAAGGUGCUGAAGAUGCUGGAGAUGAAGAUGCAAGGCUGUGGGAGGUAUUUGAAGCCGUUUCCCGCUGCCGGACCCGUCCCGCCCCGCUCGGGGCUCCGCAGCCGCCCCGGCCCGUCCCGCAGCCCGGGCGCGGCGGCCCUCGGGGGACACCUGCCGGUGGCCGCGCCGCGGUGCAGCCGCCCCUCCCCGGCCCGCGCCCGGCGGCCUCAGGAGCUGCCGCGGCUCCUUCCGAGCGAGAGCUCCGCGGUUCUCGGCAGGGUGUGGCUGAGCAAAGCUCCCAGUCAGCCCUAAAACUCCGUGCUGUGCAAUUCUGUCGCAGAGAAAACGGGCAGGCGUGUACACGUCCUUGAAUUUACUGGGGAAAGGACAGCGCUUGUUACUAUUGCUUAUUAAGAGCUACACCAAUAUCAUUUACUUAGGAAAUAAGCUCUGCUUAUUUCAUAUUCAUAUAGGGAAUGUGGGCAGUAGUCCGAGUUAUCAGCUCUUGAAAACACCUGCACUGGGUGUGUGAAUGAGACAGCCAGGCUUUUUUAUCCUUCCUAUGGAUAGCCGGUCUGCUCUGAGGAAAUUGUUUUGGGCUUUUUCUAUAAUGUUCAUCACACUGUGAUUGUGUAUAUAUUGUAUAUAUAUUGUACAUGUAUUAUGUAGCUACUUCACUAACUUUGUUUUCUCUCAAGAGCAGAGGGAGGAGGGUUCUAUAAUAUCCAUUCCAUUGCAAGGGAAAGGAGAUGUAGGAAGUUCAGUGUCAAAAGCAUCCUCUAGUGUUGAUUGCCCGCUUCUGAGAUAGAAUUAUAGAAUUGUUUAUGUUGGAAAAGAUCUGUAAGACAAUUGAGUCCAACCAUUCCUCCAGCACUGCUAAACCACUAAACCAAGUCCCCAAGUGCCACAUCCACACAUCUUUAAAAUCCCCCAGGGGGAUGGUGACUCCACCUCUAUCCAUGGCCCCCUGAUCCAAUGCUUGACAACUCUUUCCAUGCAGAAAUGUUCCCUAAUAUCCAAUCUAAGCCUCCCUGAUGAAACCUGAAGUCUUUCCUCUGGUUCUGUCACUAGUUACUUGAAAGAAGAGACUGAGUGCCUAGAGAAUGCUUUCUCAGACCAUUUGGCAUUGUACAUAAUUUAGUUUUGCUCAAAUCACAGCUCCCACUGUCCUCAGCUGUAGUUAUAAAUGCUUGAGACUUCAGUAUUUAGACCCUGGGCCUCAGUUUGUUAUUCCGAGGAAAAAAAAAAAAGAAAACAUAUCUGAAGUAUUAUGGCAUAACUGAAUUGUGAACUGUAUACUGCCAGCUGGGCAGGAUGCCAAUUAGAAAUAUUCGAUGCUUUAAUGAUAGACAGUCCAUUCUCUUCCUGUAACUUUCUGCUUGGAUUUCUGCCCAAGUCGAGGGAACUUGGUGACCUGAGACCUAGUGCCUCAUGUCACUCCUCAGUAUUUGACUGUGAGGCUGCUCCAAGGCAAUUUUGCGGUGUUUGUAGUCCAAGUGGAAUGGAUCAUAUCUUCAGCAAUUCUUACUUUGGGCAUGGGAUCUGUCCACUUACUGUCUAGAGCCACAUUCACAUCUUUUUCCAGACAGUUUCAGCUGUUCCUAGGCUGAUUGUAAUAUAGGAGACUGUAUGUUGACUGAGCAUCAGUCAUUUGCCUCAUGGAUGAAGGAAAAUCAAGUAAAGGUAAUUUGCACUAAAGUGAUUUAAAAAAUGCUUCUAUUUAGUACACUAGAUGGCCAUGCAUUUCUGAAAUUGUAGUGAAACAUACCUGUAAUCAAAAAUUUGGACCUGUUGACCACAUCUAAAUUUGCAUAGUGCACCACAGUGAUGUCCCUUCCAGCUCCCUUUCUAAAUAUGCAAUAGUUUUGUGGCCUUUGAUCCACGGUACCGUAGUCUUAGGUGGGUGUUUUGUGGCUUACUGUAGGAGCCCAGAGUGUAUGGUCCUGCAAUCCCUUGUUGACCCUUUGCCACUGAAGAAAUCCUCCAUGAUGUGUUAAUAUUUGCUCACUGUGUCAUGCUAAGCAAGACACUACCUUGGAACAAAGUAUACCUGUAAUAAAGUAUAUUUAGGAAAAGAGCUGGCCAUUUGUAGGCUAUGGUAUUAUUUCUUCUGCCAGCGAGUUAGGGCUGGGCUGUGUUUCCAAACACUGUGUUUCAUAGCCAACAAGGGAUCUUGGAUCAGUUUGUCUCAAUCCUCCUUGUCACUGAGUUGUAUUUUUAGGCUGUGCAACACCAUGUAUUAAUGAGUUCCAUGACUUAGCUGUACAUACUUUUAAUGGAAGAAUGUGUAAUUGGCUGACA